rnacentral:rRNA from 1 species
UACGUAGGGCGCAAGCGUUGUCCGGAAUUAUUGGGCGUAAAGAGCUCGUAGGCGGCCUGUUACGUCUGCUGUGAAAUCCCGGGGCUUAACCCCGGGCGUGCAGUGGAUACGGGCAGGCUGGAGGCAGGCAGGGGAGAACGGAAUUCCCGGUGUAGCGGUGAAAUGCGUAGAGAUGUGGAGGAAUACCGAUGGCGAAGGCAGCCCCUGGGCCAAUACUGACGCUCAUGCACGAAAGCGUGGGGAGCAACAGGAUUAGAUACCC